UUCAAACAAAACAUCAUUCAAAGCGAGCUUUAUUUGUUUUGCCUAUUGCAGCUGAACUUGCAUAGAUAUUCCCUUUGCCAUCAUCUUGACAUCUUAAAAGAAAUCUCAAGAGACUUCUACUGACAGCUUCAUGAGCUGACUGUGACGACACAACAUAUCCCAUGCAAUGGGAUAGGGAAAUGGAGAAUUCAGAUUUUACAAGAAAACUUACAAGAAAAAAAAAAGAAGCUCUUUAAGGGAGUUAUGCAUCUCAACUGUUUCAAAAUACAUUUUUCCGAUUACCAAAGGCCCUCGUGAAACUGCCUAACAUCAAGUUGCUAGCAAGGAAACAAGAGGAAGGCACUUGUGAAGGCAGAAAUCUGUCCCUCUACGUGUAUGAACUGUUUUCCUUUGCAUGCCUAAUCUAUGAGGUACUCUUAACUGCAUACACAACAGUGUUCACAGAGCGUAUCAUCUCUGACGAUAGAAAAGCUCACUUCGAGGACCGAUCAUGGAGUGAGUAUAACUUACUUAACGAUUGCUCUGCUGAUAUACUGGAGGAAGUGUGCGAGAAAUAGGAUCUAAUGUUACAAUAGAAAGACCGAUUGUGAGACACGCCCGGAAGAAAGUCUCAAUUUUCAACACAAAUUUACAGGACUAACUUUGCAAAUAAAAGCCUAGUGUUUCACGUGGCCUUGAUUCA
rnacentral:lncRNA from 1 species